rnacentral:rRNA from 1 species
GACGAACGCUGGCGGCGUGCCUAAUACAUGCAAGUAGAACGCUGAAGGAGGAGCUUGCUUCUCUGGAUGAGUUGCGAACGGGUGAGUAACGCGUAGGUAACCUGCCUGGUAGCGGGGGAUAACUAUUGGAAACGAUAGCUAAUACCGCAUAAGAGUAGAUGUUGCAUGACAUUUGCUUAAAAGGUGCAAUUGCAUCACUACCAGAUGGACCUGCGUUGUAUUAGCUAGUUGGUGGGGUAACGGCUCACCAAGGCGACGAUACAUAGCCGACCUGAGAGGGUGAUCGGCCACACUGGGACUGAGACACGGCCCAGACUCCUACGGGAGGCAGCAGUAGGGAAUCUUCGGCAAUGGACGGAAGUCUGACCGAGCAACGCCGCGUGAGUGAAGAAGGUUUUCGGAUCGUAAAGCUCUGUUGUAAGAGAAGAACGAGUGUGAGAGUGGAAAGUUCACACUGUGACGGUAUCUUACCAGAGAGGGACGGCUAACUACGUG